rnacentral:rRNA from 1 species
CUCCUACGGGAGGCAGCAGUGGGGAAUAUUGGACAAUGGGGGGAACCCUGAUGCAGCCAUGCCGCGUGUGUGAAGAAGGCCUUUUGGUUGUAAAGCACUUUAAGCGAGGAGGAGGCUCCUAUAGAUAAUACCUAUAGUGAGUGGACGUUACUCGCAGAAUAAGCACCGGCUAACUCUGUGCCAGCAGCCGCGGUAAUACAGAGGGUGCGAGCGUUAAUCGGAUUUACUGGGCGUAAAGCGUACGUAGGCGGCUUUUUAAGUCGGAUGUGAAAUCCCUGAGCUUAACUUAGGAAUUGCAUUCGAUACUGGGAAGCUAGAGUAUGGGAGAGGAUGGUAGAAUUCCAGGUGUAGCGGUGAAAUGCGUAGAGAUCUGGAGGAAUACCGAUGGCGAAGGCAGCCAUCUGGCCUAAUACUGACGCUGAGGUACGAAAGCAUGGGGAGCAAACAGGAUUAGAUACCCUGGUAGUCCAUGCCGUAAACGAUGUCUACUAGCCGUUGGGGCCUUUGAGGCUUUAGCGGCGCAGCUAACGCGAUAAGUAGACCGCCUGGGGAAUACGGUCGCAAGACUAAAACUCAAAUGAAUUGACGGGGGCCCGCACAAGCGGUGGAGCAUGUGGUUUAAUUCGAUGCAACGCGAAGAACCUUACCUGGUCUUGACAUAGUAAGAACUUUCCAGAGAUGGAUUGGUGCCUUCGGGAACUUACAUACAGGUGCUGCAUGGCUGUCGUCAGCUCGUGUCGUGAGAUGUUGGGUUAAGUCCCGCAACGAGCGCAACCCUUGUCCUUAGUUGCUACCAUUUAGUUGGGCACUUUAAGGAGACUGCCGGUGAACAAACCGGAGGAAGGUGGGGGAUGACGUCAAGUCCUCAUGGCCCUUAUGGCUAGCGCUUCACACGUCAUACAAUGGUCGGUACAGAGGGUUGCCAAGCCGCGAGGUGGAGCUAAUCUCAUAAAACCGAUCGUAGUCCGGAUUGGAGUCUGCAACUCGACUCCAUGAAGUCGGAAUCGCUAGUAAUCGCGGAUCAGCAUGUCGCGGUGAAUACGUUCCCGGGCCUUGUACACACCGCCCGU